GCUCACGAGCUUAACGAGUCAGCUUGAGCUCUAAAUGAGUCAAGCCGAGUUAGCUUUCUGGCUCAUUGACAUAAUGAGUCGAGUCGAGCUAGCUCGUUAUCUUAACGAACCAAAAUGAGCAAAGCCAAGCUCGGAUCGUUAUCCAACCCUAAUAAGUACAUAAGUUAAUUAGUAUAUAUGUAUAUAGUUAUUCUAUUUAAAUGUUAAAGGGACAUAAAUUUAGCGCAUGUUUUUAGUUACUAGUUCGGUCACGAGUCUACACAAGUAAUUAGCUAUUUGUAUGACAUAAUUGAGCGACCCGAACUAAUCGAGACUGAGAUCAUCAUUAUCUUUUAUUAGUAAUUAUAAUAGUUGUUUUAUUUUUCUUAUAGUUCUUCAGUUGUACCAUCAUUCUCUUUUAUGGAGUAAAUAUAAAUUGCAAGUUAUUUUUUACUAUGCAUUUUAAUCAUCAUUUUAAAAUUAGUUUGGGUCGGUCGAAUAUAAGCGUCGCGAACACGGAAACAAACACAGCCUUGGUAGUAGUAUAGUACAAGCGCAAGUAGCUAGUAGUCAUAGUAAUUGUAGCAGCUAUAGUACAAAUGAACAGAUUGAAAUAGGUUUUAUAUGGGAGGGAAAAACUACAAAAAUAAAAAAGCAAAAAAAUGAUUUGGAAAGUAUCAAAAAGCAAGAAGCUAUUUUUUGGAAAACAAAUAGCAAAAAAAUAAUAGUUAACAAAAAAAAUGCUAUAAGAAGGAAUGGAACACAAGACCUUUGCCUUGGAGUACAUACCAUACUUAUUCGGACCAGACCGGACUGUGGUUUGACCGCUAAAAGUCCGAACCAGAGUCUACAAGGUUCGGUUAACUUAAAAGAUCGCGUGUGCAAUCGAACCGCUAUAAACCUGUUGAACCGGCCGACUUUUCAUUGAACCGGUGAACUGGGCGGUUCCAUGCGAACCAGUGAGGUUUUGAGUUUUUCCAAAAUUACCCUUCUGUGCAUUCAGGUCGACCUUAUCUAGUUAGGGGUACUUUUGGAAAUUGGCGUUUAGGGUUGCUUGCUUUCCCUGGAGCCCUGGACUGACCGAGUGGACUGACCGAGUGGGAGCCCUGGACUAAGCGUUUCUGGCGGCGGCGUUCUUGCUCUCGGGACGC
rnacentral:lncRNA from 1 species